rnacentral:rRNA from 1 species
UACGUAGGGUGCAAGCGUUAAUCGGAAUUACUGGGCGUAAAGCGUGCGCAGGCGGUUUUGUAAGACUGUCGUGAAAUCCCCGGGCUUAACCUGGGAAUGGCGAUGGUGACUGCAAGGCUAGAGUUUGGCAGAGGGGGGUAGAAUUCCACGGUGUAGCAGUGAAAUGCGUAGAGAUCGGGAAAGAACAUCAGUGGCGAAGGCGGCCUGCUGGGCUGUUGCUGACGCUGAGGCGCGA